GGGGGAAAGCGAAUAGGAAACAAUUAUGACUCAGGAUCCUCCUAACAGCAGAAAGUCAAAUGAGCAGGCACUCUUAUGUCGCUUUAGUUUCAUCCCGGGGCUUUUAGCAGUAGGGAUACAUGCCAAGGGGAGGAGUCCCAUGUUCAACAUCGACACAAUGUAAAAUGCUGCUAGAUAUGAACUUGAAAACUCCUAGCUCAUAUGAAUUUUCUUUAUGCUCAUUCUGUCUGUGUUAGUUUAGCUAGGAUAUUAAUUUGCAAAAAAAAAAGAAUAUAUGACAGUGCUAGGUCACAAAUUGGUCUCCACAUUUGUGUACUUUUCUUUCUAAACCAGAAAACGGUUACCAUGCACACACGUAGCAUAAGCAUACCUGCAAGUCAUAUGCAAAGUCCCUGAAACUCUGACUCUCUGGCAGUAACAACCACGCUGUUGUUUUCUUCAAGAAACGGCCACUGCUAUGUGCUGUGAAGAGAAACAAGGCUGCUGGGCCCAGUGACAAAACUUAGGAACAGUUGAAAGUACUUCCAGGAACCUGCUCCCGGCAUCAAUCAAUGUAGGCCAUGCAAGUACCUAACCCAGAUUCAUCACGCAUCCUGUGCCUCCAAAGUUGGUACAAUAUCGCACAUCUCCUUUGACCUGAUCGGCAUCCAUGCACGUGUGUUAGCUAGGGAAAUAAGCCCCAGGCUGUACAGAAGGCAACAUGUCACACACGUUCUCUGGCCUUGGCCAUUGGAUGAACCAUCGAAAAGUUUCAGUGAGGUGGGAAAAGUCACCUAAUUCAGCAUGAUUCUACGAUAAGACACAGCAAUAAUGUCCUAAUGAUCUUAGACAUUACCCUUCAUCUAGAAAACCUGUAUUUCUUUUAAGGCACCACGCUGCUGUAGCGGCAUACUUUUAUCCCCAAAGGCGUGGGAUACGAAUCCCUGUUCCCAUGAUGACCAAUAUAAAACCCCUCCCUGCAUACAGUGUUAGCGCUGAUCAAUACCUUCUUACCUGUAACGAUACUUAUGUAUAACAAAAGUACCAGUAUUAAUUAGGAAGCAAACCUCUCGCUUUUGGUUACGCCAUUUUGUGUACUUUAGCAGCUUGGUUUCACAUAUGAUAUACGAUGUAUUGCCAUGUGUAUAGAGAGGCUCCUAGAGACUAGUGGUUUGUUAGGGGUGGGCCCACCGUGAUACAAAAGGUUAAAUUAAGGGAGACAUCGGACCGAUGACUGAUCUAUUGUAAGAUUGUACAUGCCUUGGUAAGGUAAUUCAAAUCAGUCAUUGUGACAUUCCGAUUCAAUCACUGUAACAUUCCAACUCGCGAAGGGUGAAACUAAAAAAAAGGCAGCCUGGUGCACAUAGCUCCCGUUUGCGCAGGGUCCGGGGAAGGGUCCGAUCACUUUGGGUCUUUUGUACGCAGCCUUUCCCUACAUUUCUGCAAGAGGUUGUUUUCAGGACUCGAACCCGUGACCUCAUGGUCACAAGGCAACAGCUUUACUGCUGCUCCAAGGCAUGGUCACGAAGGGUGAAAUUACAUUAUUAGUUCACAAAGCUAUUGUGUAUGGAUAUGUUUGUCUAAGACAUUCUGUACUCGCACCUUUGUAGAAUUUUCAUAGGAAUGGUUGUUCUUCAAGUGGUGAUGGCACUAACGAUGUUUCAUCAGUGUUACAGUGUGCAUUUGUAUUUAACUUAUCGAUAAAAUAUUUACUGAGUUUAAACUUUUCUAAGAAUCUCCAUGUACACUUGUCUACCAAAUCACCAAAGCUUAAAGUUUGAGUAACUAAAACACUAGAAAUGAAGACCGAAACAAGACAUAGGACAUAGCACGCUUUGGAAGAAAAUUAGAUGAUUUGAACCUUUGGAGUUACUUGAUAGAAGAGUUAUUGUUGAAGCAGUUGAACACAAUGCCGGGUAGCUCCCUUAUUUUAUAUGCAUCGUCUAACAACCCAGCUGCCCUGCAGCAUCUCACCGUUCUCUCCCAGAAACCACCCUUCUUUCUCUUCCCUACAUGCACCCCAUCCUCCUACUAUAUAAACCACCCCAUUCUGCACCUCAUAACCCACAAGAAGAGAAGUAGAAACAAACAAAUAACAAGUCUCUUCUAUUACUUGUACAAAGUGCAGCUAAGGACACUUACAUGGCGACUUCCAUGAGUUGCCUGUUGGUGCUAUGCCUUGUCUGUCCCCUCCUUGCUGGUGUCGUACGUGCCAACCCAUGGUACGGCUUGUUCCCACAGUUCUACGACCACUCUUGCCCGAAG
rnacentral:lncRNA from 1 species